rnacentral:lncRNA from 1 species
CAUGAUAUCACUGUCUGCAUGGGACAAACCACAACGACAAUGAGAAGCAUAUCAAUACAAGGCUAAUUCCAAACAGAAGCUGACAAUUAUGGCGUAGUGAUUCAAUCUGGUGUCCAAACGCCCUAAUCUCCGCCUCUCGCCGCUUAGUUUAUACCUCAAUAAGUUGCUGCUUUAGUUCCAGAUGGUGGACCUUGCCAUCCAAUCGUUGUUGCUCCAAUCGGAUAUUGUUGUAUCUUCUCGCUCGGGAAUUAAGGUAGAAUCGUCUACCCAUUGGAAAAAUCACAAUUACGACGUCUAUCCUGUGAGGAGAAUGCGAUGUGACAGAAGGUACACUACAUAAGAAGACCUGAAUGCAAAGAGAACACCAGGCCAAUCUCACCUUCCAAUCACGCAUGAGAAGAACUGCCUUCCAAGAUUCGUUCCGGUUCCCGACGUUUUCACGACGGCAGGGCGAAGAUGGUCACACAC